rnacentral:ncRNA from 1 species
ACAAUCCAUGGGGUGUCCUGUUAAAACAGGGCUGAGAUCAUACCCGGAAGUUGACCACUUCACACCUGAUCCAGAUAAUACUGGCGUAGGGAAUUUGGCAAGGCUGUUUU